rnacentral:rRNA from 1 species
AACGAACGCUGGCGGCAUGCCUAACACAUGCAAGUCGAACGAGACCUUCGGGUCUAGUGGCGCACGGGUGCGUAACGCGUGGGAACCUGCCCUUAGGUUCGGAAUAACCCACCGAAAGGGGUGCUAAUACCGGAUAAUGUCGUCGGACUAAAGAUGUAUCGCCUUUGGAUGGGCCCGCGUUGGUUUAGCUAGUUGGUAGGGUAAAAGCCUACCAAGGCGACGAUUCAUAGCUGGUCUGAGAGGAUGAUCAGCCACACUGGGACUGAGCAACGGCCCAGACUCCUGCGGGAGGCCGCAGUGGGGAAUGUUAGAGAAUGGACGAGAGCCUGAUCCAGCAAUGCCGCGUGAGUCAUGAAGGCCUUAGGGUUGUGAAGCCCGUUUACCCGGGAUGAUAAUGACGGUACCGGGAGAAUACACGCCGGCUAACACCGUG